rnacentral:rRNA from 1 species
UACAGAGGGGGCUAGCGUUAUUCGGAAUUAUUGGGCGUAAAGGGCGCGUAGGCGGCCAUGCGUGUCUUCCGUGAAAUCCCUCGGCUUAACUGAGGACGUGCGGAAGAAACUGCAAGGCUCGAGUCCGGGAGAGGGGGGUGGAAUUCCCAGUGUAGCGGUGAAAUGCGCAGAUAUCAGGAGGAACACCGAUGGCGAAGGCAGGUCUCUGGGCUGUAACUGACGCUGAGGAGCGAAAGCAUGGGGAGCGAACAGG